UACGGGGGGGGCAAGCGUUGUUCGGAAUUACUGGGCGUAAAGGGCGCGUAGGCGGCCUGCUAAGUCGGAUGUGAAAUCCCUCGGCUCAACCGAGGAACUGCAUCCGAUACUGGCGGGCUUGAAUCCGGGAGAGGGAUGUGGAAUGCUUGGUGUAGAGGUGAAAUUCGUAGAUAUCAAGCAGAACACCUGCGGCGAAGGCGGCCUUCUGGACGAUGACUGACGCUGAGACGCGAAAGCGUGGGGAGCAAACAGG
rnacentral:rRNA from 1 species